rnacentral:rRNA from 1 species
AUGGGGACCAGGAGGGCGUGCAGCGUCGUGGCGGCGUGCGUGGCGGCGGUGGGGCUAGCGGGCGCCGGCGUGCUGGUGUGGUGGGCGGUGGCGUUCCACCCGGCGCGGGAGCAGCUCUGGAUGGUGCCCGUUGGGCUCGUCCUCCUCGGCACGCCGCUCGUCGCUUGGCUCUCCCUCUUUGCCUCCGCCUCGGGACCAGCCUCCUCUGCAUGCCGAGCUGCACGGGGAGGAGCCGUGGCCGGAGCUCGCAGUCACCGCGCAUGGCUGGGGCGGAGCUCACCUGCGCCCCCCUGUGUGUGGCCGAGGCGGCCCGCACCCGCGCCCGCCUGUGCGUGGCGGAGCUCAGCCGCGCCCGUCCGCCUGGGAGUUACCCUACUCUGGGUCGCGGACGACAUCUCCGUCAAGGCCGAAGCUGGCCGCAACAAGGCCGGCGCUUCGCGUGCCCGGCGCGGAGCUCGCGCUCGCGCGGCCUGA